UGUAUUAGUUUAGAUGCUUAGCAUCGGAUUACAUUCGUAUAAGAGGAUUGCGUGUUAGAAAGACGGAGGACUAUAAGGCCAGGCCCGAAGCCUCCCCGUCUCACGAGUGCACAGGGGUGUGUGGAUGAAGGAGAGGGGCGUGCACAUGUCCGCCUCGGAAGGGGACCAGCUACAACCCGACUCCGCAUUCAUUCGUUAAUGAUCCUUCCGCAGGUUCACCUACGGAAA
rnacentral:misc_RNA from 1 species